AGUAAUGCAGCACUGGGCUUUCUGCCAAAUCACCAAACGUGGCACCGUCCAAAGGGUUCUGGUGUGACGAGCAGGUGAAUGAACAGACUGCUGUAUUAGUCCUGAGACCAUAAUGAAUCAAGCCACUCAGAAGUAGAGAAAAUACAGUGCAGAUAUAAAAAUCCAACGAAUGGCAAAAAUCUCCAAAGAUUUCCACAAACGUACACCUUGCCUGGGCUUGCCUUUUUCUCCUAGUACAUCCUGUUACCAUCUCUUUCCCAGGAAAGCUACAGAUCACCUGUAAGCAUGCCCUUGACUAAAGAGGAACGUCCUGAAAUCUGGCUGGAUUUGGGACUCUGUCACAAGCUUACGAGAAACACGGCGAGUGCAUCACACACUCCACACUGCUGCUUAUUAAACAUAUUACCCAAUAUAAAAAGACUGAGAAGCUGCAUCUCCAUUGCUUAACAUACGACUAAGGGUUUAUUAGCUUUAUAAGCUGUAUAGAUGUCAAAACAUCCUUAAUCUGUCAUUUCCCUUCUUCAUUUAAAUAAAUUAAUGCUUUAAAUUACAGUUAUUAUUGAAGGGACAACGACUGAUUCAAUAAGACAUUCGUCCUAUUUACUGCCUUUGUUGAUUAAUGAAUAGGGCAUGAGCAUGUUAUUUACCAGAGCCUUCGGUUUACAGGGACGAUGAGACGUCUUGCAGUUUUUAGAUAUCGGAGCUUAUUCCCCAGACUCUAGAAGCUGCUGCAUUCUGUAUUUUUUUAGAAUUUAAGCACUCAAUGUGUGCUGUAUAAUGCAGCCCAGUCUUAAACUUUAACUCCUGUAGCUCAGUCCCUGUAGACCUGAAAAUCAACAUACUGCGGCUUUAAUGAGCCUGACCUACAUACCGCUGUGAACCAGCAAACACAACACACACACACACACACACACAACAGAGAGUCCAUGCAGAUCUACACCGGCUACCAACCUAAAAAAAAAACCCCACCAUGUCCUGUGUGCGAUUAUACAAAAAUAAACUUCACUGAGUUGGAUGAAGCUCGAGUGGCUUUACAACCAACAAAUCGAAUCAAAUUACAUUUUUAUUUGUUUUUUAUAGUUUUUUAUAGAUUUUUUAUUGUUUUAUUUAUUUUAUUACACAUUCAUACAGAGUACGAAAUGUAGUGAAAAUCUUAUUCUGAUUAUCCACCAUGUAAUAAAA